rnacentral:rRNA from 1 species
GACGAACGCUGUUUGCGUGCUUAACACAUGCAAGUCGAACGGAAAGGCCCUGCUUUUGUGGGGUGCUCGAGUGGCGAACGGGUGAGUAACACGUGAGUAACCUGCCCUUGACUUUGGGAUAACUUCAGGAAACUGGGGCUAAUACCGGAUAGGAGCUCCUGCUGCAUGGUGGGGGUUGGAAAGUUUCGGCGGUUGGGGAUGGACUCGCGGCUUAUCAGCUUGUUGGUGGGGUAGUGGCUUACCAAGGCUUUGACGGGUAGCCGGCCUGAGAGGGUGACCGGCCACAUUGGGACUGAGAUACGGCCCAGACUCCUACGGGAGGCAGCAGUGGGGAAUAUUGCACAAUGGGCGGAAGCCUGAUGCAGCAACGCCGCGUGCGGGAUGACGGCCUUCGGGUUGUAAACCGCUUUCGCCUGUGACGAAGCGUGAGUGACGGUAAUGGGUAAAGAAGCACCGGCUAACUACGUGCCAGCAGCCGCGGUGAUACGUAGGGUGCGAGCGUUGUCCGGAUUUAUUGGGCGUAAAGGGCUCGUAGGUGGUUGAUCGCGUCGGAAGUGUAAUCUUGGGGCUUAACCCUGAGCGUGCUUUCGAUACGGGUUGACUUGAGGAAGGUAGGGGAGAAUGGAAUUCCUGGUGGAGCGGUGGAAUGCGCAGAUAUCAGGAGGAACACCAGUGGCGAAGGCGGUUCUCUGGGCCUUUCCUGACGCUGAGGAGCGAAAGCGUGGGGAGCGAACAGGCUUAGAUACCCUGGUAGUCCACGCUGUAAACGGUGGGUACUAGGUGUGGGGUCCAUUCCACGGGUUCCGUGCCGUAGCUAACGCUUUAAGUACCCCGCCUGGGGAGUACGGCCGCAAGGCUAAAACUCAAAGGAAUUGACGGGGCCCCGCACAAGCGGCGGAGCAUGCGGAUUAAUUCGAUGCAACGCGUAGAACCUUACCUGGGUUUGACAUGGAUCGGGAGUGCUCAGAGAUGGGUGUGCCUCUUUUGGGGUCGGUUCACAGGUGGUGCAUGGCUGUCGUCAGCUCGUGUCGUGAGAUGUUGGGUUAAGUCCCGCAACGAGCGCAACCCUUGUUCACUGUUGCCAGCACGUUAUGGUGGGGACUCAGUGGAGACCGCCGGGGUCAACUCGGAGGAAGGUGGGGAUGACGUCAAGUCAUCAUGCCCCUUAUGUCCAGGGCUUCACGCAUGCUACAAUGGCUGGUACAGAGAGUGGCGAGCCUGUGAGGGUGAGCGAAUCUCGGAAAGCCGGUCUCAGUUCGGAUUGGGGUCUGCAACUCGACCUCAUGAAGUCGGAGUCGCUAGUAAUCGCAGAUCAGCAACGCUGCGGUGAAUACGUUCCCGGGGCU